GCGUGUACAACUUGUUCAGGGCAGGCUCCUGCAGAGCAGUGCAAUUGUCAGGGCCCAGGGACCAACAGCUUUGCCUGGCACCUCCUUGGGUGGCUUCUCGGUGAAUUGCAGCUGAUGAGGCACCUUCCCGUAAAUGACUGGACAGCUUUGCAGUGAGUUCUGAGGAGCGGCAUCUCAGCAUCUCAGUGAUUCUUCUGCCAGCUCGGACUCCUUUGCUGCAGCCUUGUGGGGCAUCUGCCAUUGUUGACACGUGUGGAAACGUGGAAGAGUGAGGGGAUUAACACUCAAGGGGCAACUUUUGACCACUGGGGGUCACUGAAUCAAGCCUGGGAAAGUGCAGAGCAGAGGGCAAACGCUCCACCAACACAAGGCAGGACAUUGCAGAAGUCAUAAAUUCCAUCCCUCUGCCGCAGCCCAGACGGAUCGGAGGGUUUUCAGACUCCGGGGGCCACCCCCCUCCACUUCCCCGGAGAGAAGCUUGGCACUCUGAGCGGUCUUCAGGCUCGUUCGUACCACUUUUGCGCUCAACAACUCUCAACUCUUCUCCUCUGUUCCCCACCCUGCCCCCGAAACCCGCAGAGGGGAAAUUGAGUCACUGGGAGGCGAGGCCCGAGUCGCCAGGGGAAUGUGCGCCGACGCCAGCCCUCAGGGCCUUCCAGAUGCUUGGAGGAGGGGAGGGUUCUCCAGGAAAAUAUACAAAGGAGGGGUGAGAGGGGGAGGUGGCUGGCUGGGCAGUUGCUGAGCCAGACACAUGGAGAAACGCUGCCCAGGAUCAAAGGAAAUAUGACAUUUGAAAAGAAUGUGCGCGUCUGCUUGUACAGCGGAGGGGGGCGUGGGGGCGGCUUGUGGGGAAUCAGGGGCCGGACUGGGGUCUCUACCCGUGCCCUUCUAGCCUCCGCUUUCCUCCUCCCUCUGCACCCCCCCCUUAGGUGGAGGCUGGUCGCGGGUCUCAGGGUGUUCCUCGCUCUCCCUCCCCGUGGGUCUCUCCUUCCUUUAUUUCCGAGAUGAAGCUGGAAGGGAAAUGUAACCCGAGGAGACCAUCCAAAGGGGGGGGGGGGUUAAAAAAAAAAAUCAAACCAGGCCGCCUCCCCGCGCGGCCCCGGGACAUUCUUCUCUCCCUGCCGGCCUGGCCUCUUAUCCCCGCCCCUCCAGCGUCGCGGUCCUGGGCUCCGAGCCGGAGCAGCUCCGCACGUCACUGGGGUCCCCGGGGGCUGGGGGGGUCCCCAGGGCGGGCCAGCGGGAGGACGGGAGGGAAGGGAGGGGAGCCGCCUCGGCCGCGGCGGAGCUCCGGCCCGCCGGGCCAGCCCUCCCCUCUUCCCCUCUGCCCCGCGGAGCCUGUUUCUCAUUAGAGUAAAGGGCGCGGUCCCCGCCCGGCUCCCGAGUGUUUGUAAACGUCUGACCCGAGGGCCGUAGCUUAACCCUUUAGGUGCGGGGUUGGGGCGCCGCAGGGGGCGCAGCCCUGAGCUGGAGGGAUUUAGAUUAAAGGUCGCUGCGGCCUGUUGGAGAGGUCUGAAGUACACCUUCGGUGCUCGUGGUGGGGCGGGGAAUGGU